UACGUAGGGGGCAAGCGUUGUCCGGAUUUAUUGGGCGUAAAGAGCGCGUAGGCGGCUCGUUAAGUGUGAAGCUAAAUCUCUAGGCUCAACCUGGAAACUAUUUCGCAUACUGUCGAGCUGGAGUGAUGAAGAGGUUUGUGGAAUUCCUGGUGUAGCGGUGAAAUGCGUAGAUAUCAGGAGGAACACCCAUGGCGAAGGCAGCAAACUGGUCAUCAACUGACGCUGAGGCGCGAAAGCGUGGGUAGCAAACAGG
rnacentral:rRNA from 1 species